rnacentral:rRNA from 1 species
GACGAACGCUUGCGGCGUGCCUAAGAAAUGCAAGUCGAACGAGUUCAGCCCUUCGGGGCGAAAACUAGUGGCGAACGGUCGAGUAACACGUGAGCAACCUGCCUCAAAGCGGGGGAUAGCCCACCGAAAGGUGGAUUAAUACCGCAUGUGGUCCGGUCAGGGCAUCCUGAUCUGACUAAAGCAGCAAUGCGCUUUGAGAUGGGCUCGCGGCCUAUCAGCUUGUUGGUGGGGUAAUGGCCUACCAAGGCGACGACGGGUAGCUGGUCUGAGAGGAUGGUCAGCCGGAUUGGGACUGAGAUACGGCCCAGACUCCUACGGGGGGCAGCAAUUAGGAAUCUUGCGCAAUGGGCGAAAGCCUGACGCAGCGACGCCGCGUGACUGAUGAAGUCCUUCGGGAUGUAAAAGUCUUUUAGCAGGGAAGAAGAUCUGACGGUACCUGCUGAAUAAGCUCCGGCUAACUACGUGCCAGCAGCCGCGGUAAUACGUAGGGAGCGAGCGUUGUCCGAAGUUACUGGGCGUAAAGCGCGCGUAGGCGGUUGCUUAAGUUAGAUGUGAAAUCCUGGGGCUCAACCCCAGAACUGCAUCUAAAACUGGGCGACUUGAGGACGGAAGAGGGCAGUGGAAUUCCUGGUGUAGCGGUGAAAUGCGUAGAUAUCAGGAGGAACACCCGUGGCGAAGGCGGCUGCCUGGUCCGUAUCUGACGCUGAGGUGCGAAAGCUAGGGGAGCGAACGGGAUUAGAUACCCCGGUAGUCCUAGCCGUAAACGAUGGAUACUAGGUGUAAGUGGUAUCGACCCCACUUGUGCCGCAGCUAACGCAUUAAGUAUCCCGCCUGGGGAGUACGGCCGCAAGGUUGGAA